ensembl:misc_RNA Gm22025 predicted gene, 22025
AGAUGUGAGGGCGAUCUGGCUGCGACAUCUGUCACCCAUUGAUCACCCAGGAUCGAUUGGCUGAUCUGGCUGGGAGGAGGGUGUCCUCUUCCUCCCUUUCCUCCCUCACCGCCCCACAUGCGUGCGUCCUUCCCAAAGCUAGUGGGAGCUUGGGCUUGCUCAAAGAGGACGACCUUCCCUGAAUAGAGGAGGACCCCUGUUUAGUCAAGGGUACGCUCCCCUGCUGGAACCUCCAAACAAGCUCUCAAGGUCCUAAAAAAGCAAAACAACGAAAAAACUGCUACAAACAGCAUUCUUUCUUU